CUGUUCAUCAUACCUAAUUAGCCCAGCUUGCUUGUUUGGGCAGAAACCCAGUCUCUCUCAAGCCUUUAUGUAACAAGAAGCUGCAAGGAACGAAACCCCUGAACCCUCUACAACUACAACCCAGUAGGACACCCACCCUCUUUAUUACUCCAUCGCAGCUUUUCAUUUUCUUUUAAAGUCAGGACAGCAAAUUUAUUCGUUUGGUGCUCUUUCUGUGCUUGAUUCACGGUUUAUUUGGGGGGAAAUGCCGUUGGGAUUGAUAACCGGGAUAGGGAGGGCGAUGAGGAGGAAGCGGACGUCGUCGCUGGACAUUCUUUCGUCAAAACGUGCUCCCCGUAAUUACUACAAGGGAAAGAAUUGCAAGCCCACGGGUUUUCACACUCGUAAAGGUGGGUAUGUUGUUGUACCGGAGAAACUGCCCAACUAUGUAGUCCCUGAUUUGACAGACUUCAUGCUCAAACCAUUUGUGUCUCAAUGUCAGACGGAUGUUAAAACAACUGAAGCAUCUGAAUCUGCUAAGUAGAGCAAGAAUGAAUAGUUGAUCUCUUACAGUAUUGUUUGCUGCCCAUUUGUUGAUCUCAACUCAAGCUGGACGUAAUGUUAUGGUGCCAUUGUGGAGUACGUGAAAGGGGUGGACUAGCUGGGAGUCUCGAAUUGAAUUUCUUCAGGUUUUUGGUGGGUGUCGGCUUCCUAAUUUGUCUGGCAUGUUAAUCAACCACGGUUAAUCGAUUCGAAUCUUUAUCCUAUCCUCUUUCGGUCACUAAACUAAAGGAUACAGGUAUUGAGUGAUGGGAAACAAGUUCAUCACUUGCAGACCAAGAACCAAAUUCAUUUCCUUUACAACCGUUUCAAGUGAUCAUCGAAAACAAGCAGCGUAAGUGGUGUUUGGUUACGGAAAGAGACCGUAGCUCUUAAGCUAGAGACAAGUACACCUAAUAAAGCAGGAGUGGCUGGGUUGCCAUUUGCCAAGAUCAGAAACUCUUAGUAAGAUAACUAAGGCCCGUAAGCAUAAAGCCUGUAUUACAGAUGGGGUAUGGACCAUUAUGGCUGUAAGUACAGUGGCUCCACGGCCAAGUUUCUGCGUGCGAAUAAUUUCUUGUUUUGCUUGUUUGUUGAAAAUUGUUAUUUUUUAAAAAAAAUAUUUUUUCUGAAUUUCUUAUUAUAAAAA